rnacentral:rRNA from 1 species
GCUAUACAUGCAGUCGAGCGGACAGAUGGGAGCUUGCUCCCUGAUGUUAGCGGCGGACGGGUGAGUAACACGUGGGUAACCUGCCUGUAAGACUGGGAUAACUCCGGGAAACCGGGGCUAAUACCGGAUGGUUGUUUGAACCGCAUGGUUCAGACAUAAAAGGUGGCUUCGGCUACCACUUACAGAUGGACCCGCGGCGCAUUAGCUAGUUGGUGAGGUAACGGCUCACCAAGGCGACGAUGCGUAGCCGACCUGAGAGGGUGAUCGGCCACACUGGGACUGAGACACGGCCCAGACUCCUACGGGAGGCAGCAGUAGGGAAUCUUCCGCAAUGGACGAAAGUCUGACGGAGCAACGCCGCGUGAGUGAUGAAGGUUUUCGGAUCGUAAAGCUCUGUUGUUAGGGAAGAACAAGUGCCGUUCAAAUAGGGCGGCACCUUGACGGUACCUAACCAGAAAGCCACGGCUAACUACGUGCCACCACCCGCGGUAAUACGUAGGUGGCAAGCGUUGUCCGGAAUUAUUGGGCGUAAAGGGCUCGCAUGUUCU